rnacentral:lncRNA from 1 species
CUCGCGAGGCCGCGGUCGCUGCGCGAAGACGCGAACAUCCGCGAGUUCCCGCGAUUAGUUAUCCGGGCCACCUCAGAGGCACUCCCUUUUUUGCCCUCCAGCGUGUACCGGUGGUCUCAUGUCCUUUCUCUGUGCUAUGCCAUCUAAGAGUUGUUCUAUACCAACUUAGAGGACAUCUCAGGAACCCAAGUGACCAAUGUACUUUGAAGUCUCUGGUGAGUUUGGUCCUAAUUUAUAGCUGUUCUGUCAUAUUAAUACUUGUAGGCCAGAGGCAGGUCCCUA